AAGACUAUACUUUCAGGGAUCAUUUCUAUAGUAUCUAACUAGGAAAUGUGUUUCGAAAGUGUUGCGUCUCCCUAACCACGAUGAAGAGGUACGAUAUUCCCUUCUGAGCGCGAAGCGAGUAGAGAGAAGUGAUUUACUUCACACGCUCUCUAUUAUUGAUGAACGUUCCUCUCUGCCUUUGGCAGUCUGGAGGAAGGGAAUAUGGUCCGAGUGGC